rnacentral:misc_RNA from 1 species
UACGUAGGGGGCAAGCGUUGUCCGGAAUUAUUGGGCGUAAAGAGCUCGUAGGCGGCCCGCUAAGUCGGAUGUGAAAUCUCACGGCUCAACCGUGAAACUGCAUCCGAUACUGGCGGGCUUGAGGCAGGUAGGGGAAGGUGGAAUUCCUGGUGUAGCGGUGGAAUGCGCAGAUAUCAGGAGGAACACCAGUGGCGAAGGCGGCCUUCUGGGCCUGUUCUGACGCUGAGGAGCGAAAGCGUGGGGAGCAAACAGG